UUUUUUUUUUUAAGACAUAGCACUCUGUCGCCCAGGCUGGAGUGCAGUGGCUUAAUCACAGCUCACUGCAGUCUCGCCCUCCUGGGCUUAAUUACUUCUGAAUUUGGGAGAUCUAGUAAAACAAAAAUAAAUGACAUAGAGAAUCUCAAUAUUACAAUUAACAAGCUUGAUUUAGUACAUACAUAGAAUUCAGUGUCUUACCAAUGAAAAAUAAACAUCAUUUUAUUUUGUCCUCAGAAUCUUUGUAAAAAUUGAUCUCAUAUUUGUCUCCAAAGAAAAUCUAUAAAAUAUAAAAAGUGGAGAUACACAAGCUAAAUGUCCUAAGCUUCAGCCUAUAC
rnacentral:lncRNA from 1 species